rnacentral:rRNA from 1 species
GACGAACGCUGGCGGCGUGCUUAACACAUGCAAGUCGAACGGAAAGGCCCUGCUUUUGUGGGGUGCUCGAGUGGCGAACGGGUGAGUAACACGUGAGUAACCUGCCCUUGACUUUGGGAUAACUUCAGGAAACUGGGGCUAAUACCGGAUAGGAGCUCCUGCUGCAUGGUGGGGGUUGGAAAGUUUCGGCGGUUGGGGAUGGACUCGCGGCUUAUCAGCUUGUUGGUGGGGUAGUGGCUUACCAAGGCUUGGACGGGUAGCCGGCCUGAGAGGGUGACCGGCCACAUUGGGACUGAGACACGGCCCAGACUCCUACGGGAGGCAGCAGUGGGGAAUAUUGCACAAUGGGCGGAAGCCUGAUGCAGCAACGCCGCGUGCGGGAUGACGGCCUUCGGGUUGUAAACCGCUUUCGCCUGUGACGAAGCGCGAGUGACGGUAAUGGGUAAAGAAGCACCGGCUAACUACGUG